AUAGAUUCGGGAUUUUAUAUAAAGAGAUUGACAUGCAUUUCAUGAUUUUCGUUGAAAACCUAAAAUUAACAUAAAAAUAUAAGUCAUUUUUUUAUUUGAAAGAUUUUUUUGGGAGCAAUUAUUGGCUACCAAGUGGUGGUGGAACGUUGAAGAAGAUUAGUUGUCCUUUUUCUUUUUUCUUUUUUUUGUUUUGGUCGAGCCAGAAACAAAUCAAGAAAUUAAACAAUUCAGCUAUUCAACUCUUAUCACGUCAAUAAUUUCGCUAAAGUAAAUAACAAAGAUAAGUACAAUGAGCUUCAUAAAACAAAAUAUAAAGUUGGAUAUUGGACGGAAAAGAAUAAUUGACACUAGAAUGAACUCCAAAGACUUUUUUGCUUGAACAAAUAUAUUGCCCCUAUUUCCAUAUUUCAUUAGCACAACCAUUAGGCUCUUUGUCAUUUGGAUUUAACUCUUACCUUUGCGCUUCUUUUCCUCAUUUUUUACAGUAGUAGAAUCCUGACAAAAAUUCUCUUUUAUCUCCUUCGCAUUUACCUCUUUCGUCACCACCUUCUCUAUUUUCUCACACAAAAAAUAAUUAGAUUCACAUUCCACCACCGCAUCUACAAAAAUAAUUUGGUUAAUUCCAUUUUUAUCCACACUAUCUUCAUUAUUCCUACAAACAGCUAAUUCUAUAAUUGCCACUGAAUUAUUAUUUCUAGGAUUAUCCAAAGUAACAAUCAAACUACUUUCACCCACAAUUUCUUUCUCACCAAAUGAAUUCACAUCAUCCAAAUUAAUGUUCUUUUUAGAACUACGCUGCUUCAGGAUCACUUGGCUUCCUGGCGAAGAAAUGGGGGGAAAGGGUUCUGGGAAAAUUAGUUCGAGACCAAAUAACCAAUACCAUUGCCAAUGAUAACGUCUAUUCCUUUGUGGAAUAACUCCAAAAAACCAUAACCUUAAAAAUCUGAAAAGAAAAGUGCAACCAAUAAUCGGUGCGAUAAGACUGUAGGUAAGCAUUUCACUCUUGUCUAUAUUUGGAAUGCAAUGAUAUCGAAUUUCUACAGGGAUUAUAAAUGCUAACACAGCAUCUUGGAAAAAACACGUACUAGUGAGACAACACAUUACUAUAUCCUUAAACUUCUUCAGACAAUGCAUUACCAUAUCCUUAAACUUCUUGAGAGCUACUAUCACCAUGCUAAUUACUUUCUCCAUGUUUGGAUUUGAG
rnacentral:lncRNA from 1 species